rnacentral:rRNA from 1 species
AGAGUUUGAUCCUGGCUCAGAAUCAACGCUGGCGGCGUGCCUCAGACAUGCAAGUCGAACGCGAAAGUCCCCUUCGGGGGAUAAGUAGAGUGGCGCACGGGUGAGUAACACGUAGGUAAUCUACCUUUGGAUGGGGAAUAACAACCGGAAACGGUUGCUAAUACCGCAUAAUGCAGCGGCACCUAAUGGUGACAGUUGUUAAAGCGGGGGAUCGAAAGACCUCGCGUCUGAAGAGGAGCCUGCGGCGGAUUAGCUAGUUGGUAAGGUAAUGGCUUACCAAGGCUACGAUCCGUAACCGGCCUGAGAGGGCGGUCGGUCACACUGACACUGACAUACGGGUCAGACUCCUACGGGAGGCAGCAGUCGGGAAUUUUGGGCAAUGGGCGAAAGCCUGACCCAGCAACGCCGCGUGAAGGAUGAAAUCCCUCGGGAUGUAAACUUCGCAAGAACGGGAAGAAUAAGUAGGGGACAAUACCCCCUAUGAUGACGGUACCGUUUGUAAGCUCCGGCUAACUCCGUGCCAGCAGCCGCGGUAAUACGGGGGGAGCAAGCGUUGUUCGGAUUUACUGGGCGUAAAGGGCGCGUAGGCGGCCAGCACAAGUCAGUUGUGAAAUCUCCGAGCUUAACUCGGAAAGGUCAACUGAUACUGUGCGGCUAGAGUGCGGAAGGGGCAACUGGAAUUCUUGGUGUAGCGGUGAAAUGCGUAGAUAUCAAGAGGAACACCUGCGGCGAAGGCGGGUUGCUGGGCCGACACUGACGCUGAGGCGCGAAAGCCAGGGGAGCGAACGGGAUUAGAUACCCCGGUAGUCCUGGCCGUAAACGAUGGGCACUGGGUAGGGGGCUCGCCGAUGGGCUCCCUGUCGCAGGGAAACCGUGAAGUGCCCCGCCUGGGGAGUAUGGUCGCAAGGCUGAAACUCAAAGGAAUUGACGGGGGCUCACACAAGCGGUGGAGCAUGUGGCUUAAUUCGAGGCUACGCGAAGAACCUUAUCCUGGGCUUGACAUGUGCGAAAGCGGUAGGUGUUGUAGCUGCCGG